GAGUUUGAUCAUGGCUCAGAUUGAACGCUGGCGGCAGGCCUAACACAUGCAAGUCGAGCGGAAACGAUGGAAGCUUGCUUCCAGGCGUCGAGCGGCGGACGGGUGAGUAAUGCAUAGGAAUCCGCCCGGUAGUGGGGGAUAACCUGGGGAAACCCAGGCUAAUACCGCAUACGUCCUACGGGAGAAAGCAGGGGAUCUUCGGACCUUGCGCUAUCGGAUGAGCCUAUGUCGGAUUAGCUAGUUGGUGAGGUAAUGGCUCACCAAGGCGACGAUCCGUAGCUGGUCUGAAAGGAUGAUCAGCCACAUCGGGACUGAGACACGGCCCGAACUCCUACGGGAGGCAGCAGUGGGGAAUAUUGGACAAUGGGCGAAAGCCUGAUCCAGCCAUGCCGCGUGUGUGAAGAAGGCUUUCGGGUUGUAAAGCACUUUCAGUGGGGAAGAAAUCCUCGGGGCCAAUACCCUCGAGGGAGGACAUCACCCACAGAAGAAGCACCGGCUAACUCCGUGCCAGCAGCCGCGGUAAUACGGAGGGGUGCGAGCGUUAAUCGGAAUUACUGGGCGUAAAGCGCGCGUAGGCGGCGU
rnacentral:rRNA from 1 species